CAGGCCAAGCUGAGGCGCUGUCCCACAUAGCACAACCAGAGGCACUCACAGAAUUUUAGAGUUGGAAUGGAUCUUAGAAGUCAUGUAGUCCAGCUAUGUGUGAUCUAGGGCAAAAUACUAGAAAUUGCUGGCCUACCUUCCCUACAAGCCUAUAUGAUUGUGUAGAGAACCUCAAAACUGAGGUCGCUCCUUCUGGAUCCAUCAAGAGACACAAGAAUAUGUCCGGCAGAUUGGUGCUUCUCAAUAGAUCAGAGUCUUCUUGCUGAUGAUGUCCCUGAGAGAGCUUCUACAGUGAGCUCUAGUCCUAGAAAGAGCCGUGAAACAGGUCUUUUAGGUACUCCAUUUCAGAGCCAACCAUAAUUCAAUUCUAUAAUGUAUAAAAAGCUAUAAAUAUCCCUAUGCAUUAAUAAUGUUGCUUGGGUGAUAUAUAGAAAUAUAGCAUCUUGAAAAACGUCUAUUUGGGAAGAAGGUCAUUUUAUUUUAUCGUCUAUAAUUUACCAAUAUUCUUCACUCUAUUUAUUGCUCAAUGAAGAGAAGCCACUGAAGCACUAGUUAGGACAGGAACUGUGUCUUUCCAGAAAUGAUGCCUGGUGUGAUGUUUAAAAAUACAAUGCUCUUUCAGUCUCUGCUCCUUUCUUGUUCCAAGGAUGUCAUUAUCAAUACUAAUAUAAAUUUUUCAUUGCUUGAGCCAUUACAAUAUACAGGGAAUAGAUUUUUCAAUUUUUUAAGUUCCACUGAGUAUAUUAGCAAAAUUAUCUGACUGUCAGCAGGCAUGUGGUGAUGCCAGUAGCAUCUCUGACUUUGAUUGUUCUAAAUCUCUUUAUGUUUACAGGUCUCCAGUUGAGAAAAAGCCAAGGAUUUAUUUUCAACCCUCCUCCCUAUUCCUUCCUUCGGAUGGCUUUCUCUCACGUCUCUUAUUCUCUUGUCUGAGUCUUUAAAAUGAUAAACACAAAAAGCAAUCUAAGAGAUAGGUUAUGUUUAUUGCAUUGAAACAAUCGUGAACUUUUAAAAAUCAUGCUUUAAGGUACUUUAUUUUAUUAUUUAUUUUUAAUAUCCCUAUGAGUUAGGGCAGAGAGUUUAUUAAUGAGAAGGUUCUUGACUCAUGCAGAAUUUUACCACACCUUAGGGGCAGACUUAGAGUUGAGCCAUAUUCUAAUACUCAGUUUAGUGACAAUUCUGGAUUCAUACACAAAUGACAUACGGCAGCUUCAACUCUCAACUCUGUAAUUUUCAUGAACUGCAAAUGGUGUGCAUGCCUGUAGAAUGAAUUUUAGAUUUCAGUGUGGGGAAAUAUGUAAGAAGAAUCGAGGGGAGAGGCAUGGUGGGAGGAGCAGAUUAGAAUAUAGCAAACAUUCUUAAUUAAAGGGAUGAAGUCUCUCAGGCCAAGUAACAAUACGAUAGGGUCACAGAAUGGUAGAUUUGGGAGGUAGCUUCAGGAUCUGCUUCUCAGUUCCUCUAUUAGGAUGGAGAAAGGGAGGGCAAGCGCACAGCCUGGUGUCACAAAGCUCAAAAGUGGUGAGUGGGUCUCAAAUCAACGUUUCUGGCUUUUGGUCAGGGACUUUUCCAAAUAUAUUGCGUUAUCUCAGAACCCAAAGAAGAGAGAUUAAUUUUCCAUGAAAUUUGCCUUCUUUAAAUUUAGAUUAUUUGGAGGUAAAGACUAAACAAUAGAUUUGUUUGUUUGUUUGAAAUACCCGGCUCAAGUAACUAACUGUGCAGACCGAGUUCAACAAAUGGUCCUUUAUCAUGUGUUGUUUAUGUCUGUCCAUCGAGCUUGAUCUUACAGUAUAACAUCAACAGCACUUCAUAAUUACUUCAUCAUGUGGGCAAACUCAUCAAUGAACCUGAGGUCAUUAACAUCUACAUUAGUCUCCUGUUGCUACUGUGAACAAAUUACCACAGACACAGUGGCCCAAAACAAUACAACACAAAUUGAUUAUCAUAAAGUUCUGGAAGUCAGAAGUUUGAAAAUAGGUCUUAUAAGGCUAAAAACAAGGAAGGUGUGGGAAGGAAUGAUUCCUUCUGGAGACUCUAGGGAGAACACAUUCAUUUCCUUUUCUAUCUUCUAGAAGUUGUCUGCAUUCCUUGGCUUAUGGCAUCCUCACAGUAAUGGCAUUAUUCUGACUUCUGCUUCUGUCAUCUCAUCUCCUUCCCUGACUUUGAUACUCCUGCCUUCCUCUUACAAGAACCUUGUGAUUACAUUGGUCCUCUCUGGAUAAUCCAGGAUAAUCUCCCCAUCUCAAGAUCCUUAAUCACAUCUGCAAAAUCUGUUUUGCCAUGUCAGGUAACAAAUUCACUGGUUCUGGAGAUUAGAACAUGGGCAUCUUUGGGGAGCCAUUAUUCUAUCAUAACAUCUAAAUUUAAUAUUCAGUUUUUAAAAAGUUGAGUAUGAUGGUGAGAGCCUUGCAAAAAGUCUGAGGGCUUCAGUUUGAGUCUAAUUUAGAACACAUCAGCUGGGUGACCUUGGGCAGCUUACUUAACCUGACCGAGGUUAGUUUCUUCAUGUGCAAACAAGUGGGUAGAAAUAAGAGACAAAAUGUAUUACAUGCUUGGUAUACUCACUCAUUCACAAUUCUCUGAAAAAUAUUACCACGCACCUCCUUCAUGCCAGGAAGAGUACUAGGUGCUAAGGAUACAGUGGUGAGCAGAUACUGACAUAAGGCCUGUCUGUGAAACUUACAGUCUGGUGAAGAAGACAGUUCUUAGUCACAUCUGUAGUUUGUAGUCAUACAAAGAACUGUAAAACUUAAAACAGCACAGCAUUCUGCUGUAGAGGGACUUGUGUUAUGGGAACUUAUUAUGAAGCGUUUGAUCUACAAGGACUCUUCUGAGGAAGUGACUCCUGAUUUGAGAUCUGGAGAAUAUGUAGAAGUUAGGGAGGCAGUGAGAGGAGGGGAGUACAUUGCAGGCAGAGGGACCAGCAGGUGCAAACAGACUUCCUUUGCAGGUGCAAAAGGAAAGCGUGUGAGAAGGAACUGAAGAAGGCUGUUGUGAUGGAGCGGCAGAGUAAAUAUAUCCCACGCACUGUACCAAUAGUGUAAAGUGCGUGAUCCAAACUCCCACUUAAUUAGGCAAGUGGCCUCAGGCAAGUCACUUAACUUUGCUAAGCCUCAGUUUCCUCACUGACAAAAUAGAAAUAACAACUGUAACUCUUAGGGAGUGUGCAGAUUACAUAAGAAAAUGCACAUAAUUAUUAUGCAGACAGCACUGGAAUCUUGGCAGUUUUCUUAAACAUUAACUUCUUUAUCCUUGCAUCAACCUUAUGAUGCAACUGUUAUUAAUCCUAUUUUAUAGAUGAAGAAAUUGAGGGAGAGAACAUUACAUAACUUGUCCAGGUCAUAUAUCAAUUGGCAGAGCAGGGAUUUGAGCCAGCUGGUGCUCUCCACCACCAUGCCGCUCAUCCCACAAAAUAACACAGGCAUUUUGUGAAACAACCCUAAAUUUAUAAAUGAAAGGCUUGUGAUUAUUCAUAUUACCCUCCUAACCAUUAUUUUUCCUUCUAUUAUUAUUCUCAUUGUAAAAAGGAGAAUGUAAGCUGGCUGAAGCUGAUCCAUUUAAUUUCUUCCCCUAAUUCAUUUUCUCUCUAAAUAAAUUCCAACAAAAGCUAAAGAGAACGGGAGUAAGGAGGAGAUGCAAAGUGCAUCCAUGUCUUCAUUGACUCUGCCAGCCUCAUUCCUUUUGGCUUGGAUGCCAGAGCUUAUUUCUGAGGUAACAGUAAAACCAAGAACAGCUUACUGUCUGUUAUGUUCUUAUAUUCUGUAAAUGAAGAGUUUGGGGAGAUUAAAUGAUCUGGUAAAUUGGGAUAACCAGACAAACCAUUUGAGGUUUGCCUAAUUUCAAAGUCUCAGAGUAAAAAAUAUAUUUAACAAUAAAACUAUAUAUUUAAUCUUCCUUUAGUAAUUGUGAAGAUGCUUCAGAGCCAUGCUGUUUCUCAGAAUUUUUAUCACUAUGUCAAUUAUUAUUGUCCUGAUAAACUGCAAGAGUGCUGGCUUAAUAGUCAUUUUUAGUCAGUAGAAUGUCCCAUAAUCAUACCUUACUGGAAAUUGUCAUAGAUUAAAAUUUGAAUUCAAUUUUUUAAUUAAUUCUGUAAAUUUACAAUAAAGCAGCAAAUGUUUGGGGAUAGUGUCCUUUUAAUUCCAUUAUUAAUGUGAAACAAUAGAAAGGAUUAUAUUUUAAGUGGAAAAAUGCAUAAUCCAAACAUGGUUUCCCAACCAAAUCAAACAGAUAUGAACAAAAGAGAGAAGGAGCUUCCAUUUGUCAUUUUAUGGAUUGUUUUUAUCAUUCAUAACAAUGUCUGCCAGUAUCAGAAGACAAGCUUUCAGCAAAUAUGACGCCAGAAGGGUAUUCACAGACAGAUCUAUUUUCAUAGACACCCACAAAAAGUGUAUUCGUUUUUUGCUGUUGUUGUUUUAAGAUUAUUUGGCAUUGAAGAAGAGUCCAAUAUCAAUUGACAUUUAAUUUUUAUGAUCCUGAAUCUCUAAUCCCUCCUACAAAUUCAGAAUAAGAAUUCAACUAAUGAAAAAGCAUAGGAUGAGCCAUUAUGAUAAGUUAUAUCUUACUGUAAGUUUAUGGAUUCAGAAUCUCUGGUCGUUGAAUAGCUGGGUUAAGGACUAAGGAAGGCACUGACAGCUUGGAGCCCAGCUCUUAAAGUUAGAGCCAACAGCAUAUCGUAUGCAUUUUCUGAAAUAACACAGUGAAAUAUCUUUCUCUCUUAACAAGCUUCCUCCAGUCAUGAAAUUCCCUUUGCUAUAUUGCAACUCCAAUGUAAAAAGGAGAACAUGUUCAGAUAUUGAAAAACCAUAGGCCAUUACCUACUUUAUCACUUAUAUCAAAUACACUGAAAAGAUAGCACAUGUACAAUUGAUGGAUUAUUCUCAUCAUGAAAGUCUGAUGACCCCACUUGGGUUUUCAAACAAGGCAUUUAAUAACCACUGCCUUGUUAAAAGGUGGAAAAUGAUCUGGCUGGUGGCCUGAUAGGACGAGGUUUUAUUGAUUUUACUGAAGCCCUUGACUUGGGAGAUCACAGACUUCUUACAGGCAAACUUAAAAGGAAGCAUUAAGAUGGAUGAGUAAUUACCUGUGUGAUGGAUGUCAUUCUGUAAACAUCAGGAUUGGGUAGCUUCUCCUUUGGGUGUCAAAUGAUGGGGGAGGGAAAGAUCACAGGCAAAGCCUCAUUUGAACCACUUUUAGUUCUUUUGCAUAUUUAUGAAUUAGCUUUGUUCUGUUAUAAGUAUUGAAUAUAGAUGAUUUUAAAAUGCAACCUUUAUUUUUUUCAUUUAAAUUUUGGUUUAAAAGGAGGAAUAGAUAGAUUGUUGUGGGUACUAGCACAGCAAAAUGAUGUUUCAAAUGUUACUGGAAAAAAGAAGAAGGAAAGAACUCUAUAAACGCCCUUAGCCCCCAUGGCUCUGAACCUACCUCAGAGUGAGGCUCUCUGAAACCUGACGCUCCCAAUGGGCUGGGCUGAGCUUGAGACAACAUCAGGAAAAUGGACCACUGAGGACAGACUGGGGAAGGAGAACUGAGUGGGAAUCAGUGCCAAGGAGAUUUGGAUGCUUCCUAGGGUGCUGGAGAAGGGAAGUGAUAAAGUAGCACUCUGAGCAGUAGAACAGACGUGAGGGACCAGGGGGAGUGGAGUUCUGAGUGCUCAAGGUUCUAUGAAUCGUGGGAAGGCUGCUUGAGAGAGAUUGUGGAGCGGGUUUCCUCAGGCCCAUUUCCUUUGUCCGUGCCCUCUUUAAAUUGGUGUCACUAACUGUGACUUAACAAGGCUGUCCUGAGGGUGGAGAGAGAGUGAAGGAGGAGGCUGUCGAACGUGGGUAGUGCGGGAAAUUCCUUAAUGUUAAAAUCUUUAAUGAACUGAGCAAUCCUUUUGAUGUAGAGAAAAGAACUUUUAUAUCUGUUGGAUAUAGUGGAAAGGAUGUGAGUUUUGAAUCAGACAGGUGGAGUCACCUUGUUUCCAAUUCUGACUCCACGCCCUAUCUGUGAGACCUUGGGCAAGUUUCUUAAUUUCUCUAACCUCACCUUUCUCUCACUUAUCUAUCAUUCAUGUUUUCACUUAUUUAUCAAACGUCUGUUGAGCAAAUAUUACACACCAAGUGAUAGAAUCACCAUGAUAUUUUGUAUAUAUCAAUGAUUUAAAUAUAAUUAUUGUUCUUAAAGGGAUUCCAGUUUAAUAGGGAUAGUCACAUAUGUAAAUAAAUAAAUGCAAUAUUAUUGUAGGUGUUGUGGUGCCCUGGAUAGAUGAUACACUGGACAGAAUGAGGGAAUAAAAAAAAGGGAGUGAUUGAAUUUUCUGAACAGAGAAUGGAGCUGGAAAUGAUUCAGAGAGGAGGUAAUUCUUAACUGAGUAUUGAAAGAUGAUUAGCAAGGAAUGUGGUUGCAGAGGAGGGCAGGUGCCAAGUCAAGGAGGAGGUUAGAGUCCAAAGCGCAAAGAGGAAACUCCUUGCUGGGGGUGUCUUUGUGUGAGGGAUAAGGGGGUCUUUAUAAAUAAUCUGGGAGGGAGAGGGCAGGUAUCUGCAAAACAAGUUUUUCUUAGGUGAGAGGCUAUAUAAACUUGUUACAGAGAUUCCUUCCAAGAUUCUAAACUCUACUGGGAAGAAACAUGUGGCUUUAUUUUUGAGAUUUUUGUCUAUUUUAUUGAUCUUGAGCAACUAAGCUUUUGCCUUCUUGUGGGGAUCACAAAUGGAUAUUGUCCUGUAGCAUUCAAAUAAUAUCCUGGGCCUCCUCUGCUAGGAAGAAUUGCAUGGCUGUCAGGCAGCACGUCCUCCGAAGGCAUGAAUGAGACUAUACUCUGUAGUUAUUUCUCUUGUAGGAGAUACUGACUCUCCUACUCAUUCCCACGGGCAGAGAGCUUUUGCUCUACAUGCAGCUGUGAGUCUGCUGGCUUCCAUUCUGUGGGUUAAAGGACAAAGUUUUUGUAUAUCAUAUAGCAGGACAAGUCUGCCACCAAAGAGCUUACUGUGAUAUGUCACUUAUUUGUAAAAUCUCAUACAGGUUUAACCUGACUUACACUAGAUGAAAGCAUCACCACAGCAAGCAUGAGCCUUAGAAGAGGAGAGAAAAUCCCUUGCUUUAUUUCCUACUUGGAAAUACAUUUUUUAAAAAAGUCAGAUCCAAGAGUGAAAUCACAGAGAUGAGGUGCUAAAAAUAUAUAUCAAUUUCUAUCGUUAAAUGAGCGAAUCAUUUUUGAACCAAGGAGAAAAACGGAUGGGCCAGCACCUGGGAGCAUAGUCAGCUGAGUAUUGUAAUGACUAUAUUGCAAUUAUAUUCCAGUGACAUGAUAUUGUAUAUUAGAGGAAUAUAUGGUAGAUUAUAUUUCUAUAUGAGGAAGUACUCAGUGACUAGAAUUCAUUUUCAUUAUAUGGAUUUUUAUAUAUUUGUGUAAAUUGGCUUUUUCCCAGAGAAAAAUUAGUACAUAAGGUAUUUAACUCUGUUAGAAGCAAUCUAUAGUGAAGUAUUGUUAUAAAUAAUGAAAGUGUGUGAAGGACAUUUGCACUGAUUUUUCUUCUUCUCUCUCGUAAAUGCUAUAGACUAUAACACUACCACAGGGUAACUUAUUUUGGAAUAGUAAACUGCCAGAAAUUUCUUCAUAUGACACAUAAAAGAAGAGGGAUAUCAAAGACCAAUAUAAUGUAUUUUUCUUUUUUUAUUAAAAAAAUUUUUAUACA